CGGCACCCAAAAGCGGAUGACGACUGGACAAUGCCACCAAGAGUGUUUGCUGUAUCAGUAACUGGAGUUUAAAUAAUUAAUUAAUAAUGAAUAAUAUGUAUAUUUUUUAUUUAGAUUUCUGGCUGUGGAUAAGCAUAAGAGUUGGCUACACAUCACUCGAACGACAGACAUUCUCACGCAUUCUCGUUUGCACUUUUCGUGGAUAAGCAUAAGAGUUGGCUACACAUCACUCGAACGACAGACAUUCUCACGCAUUCUCGUUUGCACUUUUCGCUUGUGCAACUUGCUGGCUGAGUUAGUACUUACUUGUGUUCCUGUGAUUUCUAUUCAUAUAUUUAAUUAUGUUUCAGCUGGAAUUUGGCAGUUUCUUCCAUUUACGGGCACUACAUUUUCGAAGAUAGCCAGAAAUUUCGCAUUGGGCGAGUCCCAGCAGCAGCUGAUUCAUGCCGGAGCCCAGAGCCAAAAUCCGUACACCAAUCAAAACGAAUCGCCCACAUAUUGAACGCUGAGUACGGCAGUUGUGGCAGCCCCGCACAACAACAACAACAACAACAACAAGUAGGCGUCCUUCGACCAUGCCAAAUUCCAAAAUUCUUGCGCCGUUCGUUGUCGAUCGUCGGUCGUCGACAUCGACGUCAUUUCGCCCGCCAUUCAGCCUCAGCCUUAGCCCCUAUCGCUGUCUCUGUCGCUGUCUCUGCCUCCUCUCCGGGCUAUACGUAAAUAUUUACACAUGUCUUACAAGAGCUGGCAAUAUUUCGCUGUCGGAUAUAGCAUCGUGGGUGGAGUGGAUAUUUGUAUGUAUUAGUAUGGAUAUGUGUGCACGGAUUACGAUUUAAAUGGAUUUGUGUGCGUUGGAAUUUCAUUGGCAUUUCCCAUUUCCCAUUUUCCAUUUUGCAAUUUUAUUUGUAGCCCCAUAGCUCAUUGCAUUCAUUGCUCCCGCAUACAAAACCGAAACCAAUCGGACAGUUCAAUGAAGUGGCCGAAUGGAGGGCGAAGUUCAGGCGAUACGCAGUAUGCGUAUCUGAAUCCUUUUGAUUGGGAUUGCAAGCAGCGAGCCAGUUGCCAGCUGCCAGUUGCCAGCUGCCAGCUGCCUUCGAAUCUUCAGUUUGGAAGAACAAUAAAACAAAAAAUAAUAACAAUUUGGCAGCAGCGUACAAUUUGCGUCAACAGCACUUGCCUCUGAGGUUGCUCCUCAGUAUAUAGUAGAAUAUAAAUAUCUAUACAUUUAUCC
rnacentral:lncRNA from 1 species